rnacentral:rRNA from 1 species
GAUCUUUAUAUAUUAAAUAAUUAGUAAACGUUAGAUUAAUUUUUUUUUUAAUUAUUGAUAUAUUAUAUUGGGGUAAUAAUAAAAUUUUAAAAAUUUUUAUUUUUUAUUAUCAACUAUGAUUGAUUUUUUGAUCCAAUAUUAUUGAUUAUAAAUUUAAGUUACCUUAGGGAUAACAGCGUAAUGAUUUUUGAGAGUUCUUAUUGAUAAAAUAGUUUGU